rnacentral:rRNA from 1 species
UACGGGGGGGGCAAGCGUUGUUCGGAAUUACUGGGCGUAAAGGGCUCGUAGGCGGCCAACUAAGUCAGACGUGAAAUCCCUCGGCUUAACCGGGGAACUGCAUCUGAUACUGGAUGGCUUGAGUUCGGGAGAGGGAUGCGGAAUUCCAGGUGUAGCGGUGAAAUGCGUAGAUAUCUAGAGGAACACCGGUGGCGAAGGCGGCAUCCUGGACCGACACUGACGCUGAGGAGCGAAAGCCAGGGGAGCAAACGGG